AAGUCGAGCGGAAAGGCCCUUCGGGGUACUCGAGCGGCGAACGGGUGAGUAACACGUGAGCAACCUGCCCUAGGCUUUGGGAUAACCCUCGGAAACGGGGGCUAAUACCGAAUACGACCUUAGGCCGCAUGGUGGUUGGUGGAAAGUUUUUCGGCCUGGGAUGGGCUCGCGGCCUAUCAGCUUGUUGGUGGGGUGAUGGCCUACCAAGGCGACGACGGGUAGCCGGCCUGAGAGGGCGACCGGCCACACUGGGACUGAGACACGGCCCAGACUCCUACGGGAGGCAGCAGUGGGGAAUAUUGCACAAUGGGCGGAAGCCUGAUGCAGCGACGCCGCGUGAGGGAUGACGGCCUUCGGGUUGUAAACCUCUUUCAGCAGGGACGAAGCGUAAGUGACGGUACCUGCAGAAGAAGCGCCGGCCAACUACGUGCCAGCAGCCGCGGUAAGACGUAGGGCGCGAGCGUUGUCCGGAUUUAUUGGGCGUAAAGAGCUCGUAGGCGGCUUGUCGCGUCGACCGUGAAAACUUGGGGCUCAACCCCAAGCCUGCGGUCGAUACGGGCAGGCUAGAGUUCGGUAGGGGAGACUGGAAUUCCUGGUGUAGCGGUGAAAUGCGCAGAUAUCAGGAGGAACACCGGUGGCGAAGGCGGGUCUCUGGGCCGAUACUGACGCU
rnacentral:rRNA from 1 species